CUUAUAUAAACACGUGUGCCUUUCAAAUCAUGUCCACCUAAUUGAAUUUGCAACAGAUGGACUCCAAACAAAGUGUUGAAACCUCUCAAAGAUAAUCCGGAGAAAUGGGAUUCAUCUAAGCUAAAUUUCAAGUGUCAUAACAAAGGGUCUGAAUACUUAUAUCAGUGAUGUUUAGUUUUUUUUCCUUUCUAAUACGUUAGCAAUGUUUUAAAGCAUCAUUAUAGUCACCAGAACAAUUACACUUUAAUGUAGUGUCUGUGCAGGCUUCUUUAUCUGAGUAAAAAAG